UACGGAGGGUGCAAGCGUUGUCCGGAAUCACUGGGCGUAAAGGGCGCGUAGGCGGCCUGGUAAGUAGGGGGUGAAAUCCUGCGGCUUAACCGCAGGGCUGCCUUCUAAACUGUCAGGCUUGAGCACGGUAGAGGCAGAUGGAAUUCCCGGUGUAGCGGUGAAAUGCGCAGAUAUCAGGAGGAACACCAAUGGCGAAGGCAGCUCGCUGGGACGGUACUGACGCUGAGACGCGAAAGCGUGGGGAGCGAACAGG
rnacentral:rRNA from 1 species